rnacentral:rRNA from 1 species
AGUGAACGCUGGCGGUAGGCCUAACACAUGCAAGUCGAGCGGCAGCACAGUAAGAGCUUGCUCUUACGGGUGGCGAGUGGCGGACGGGUGAGGAAUACAUCGGAAUCUACUUUUUCGUGGGGGAUAACGUAGGGAAACUUACGCUAAUACCGCAUAUGACCUACGGGUGAAAGCAGGGGAUCUUCGGACCUUGCGCGAUUGAAUGAGCCGAUGUCGGAUUAGCUAGUUGGCGGGGUAAAGGCCCACCAAGGCGACGAUCCGUAGCUGGUCUGAGAGGAUGAUCAGCCACACUGGAACUGAGACACGGUCCAGACUCCUACGGGAGGCAGCAGUGGGGAAUAUUGGACAAUGGGCGCAAGCCUGAUCCAGCCAUACCGCGUGGGUGAAGAAGGCCUUCGGGUUGUAAAGCCCUUUUGUUGGGAAAGAAAAGCAGCAGGUUAAUACCCCGCUGUUCUGACGGUACCCAAAGAAUAAGCACCGGCUAACUUCGUG